AUUGAACGCUGGCGGCAUGCUUUACACAUGCCAGUCGAACGGUAACAGCACUUCGGUGGCUGACGAGUGGCGAACGGGUGAGUAAUACAUCGGAACGUGCCUAGUAGUGGGGGAUAACUACUCGAAAGAGUAGCUAAUACCGCAUGAGAUCUAAGGAUGAAAGCAGGGGACCUUCGGGCCUUGCGCUACUAGAGCGGCUGAUGGCAGAUUAGGUAGUUGGUGGGAUAAAAGCUUACCAAGCCGACGAUCUGUAGCUGGUCUGAGAGGACGGCCAGCCACACUGGGACUGAGACACGGCCCAGACUCCUACGGGAGGCAGCAGUGGGGAAUUUUGGACAAUGGGCGCAAGCCUGAUCCAGCAAUGCCGCGUGCAGGAUGAAGGCCUUCGGGUUGUAAACUGCUUUUGUACGGAACGAAAAGCCCUCUUCUAAUACAGGAGGGUCAUGACGGUACCGUAAGAAUAAGCACCGGCUAACUACGUG
rnacentral:rRNA from 1 species